rnacentral:lncRNA from 1 species
AAAAAAAGCAGUCUGCAUUUUUCUCUGAGUUUUCUUCUCCAAAUUUCGCACUCCUGACCUUGCUUACACACUCUGGAUACCACCUGCUGUGGAGUGGCGGAAGCAGACAUCCAGCGAUAGCUAAGUUUCCUGUCGUUGACACCCAAGCAAGACAGGCGUGUACCUAACUGAGGACCUGCCGGUGAUAGAAGUCUCAGCUUUUCUCAGAGACAGAUGAGUCUUCCCUUUAAAUGCUGCAAAGUGCUGCAUAGUAGAUGUUAAAUGAAAGUCAGAAGGAAUCAAAUGUACUGCAAUUAAUUGAAGGUAAGAAACAACAAAUAUUUCCCUUCAAAAAUGUUAAUAAAAGUGUAUUUUCUCCUACCUUUCUCAAAGCCAGUUCUCAAGACAUCUAAUGAAAACGAGUCUUGUUUACGUAAUGCAGGGAUAGGCAGACUCUGAAGAGCCACAUGGCAAAUAUUUAAGCUUUG